rnacentral:rRNA from 1 species
UACGAAGGGUGCAAGCGUUACUCGGAAUUACUGGGCGUAAAGCGUGCGUAGGCGGUUUGUUAAGUCCGUUGUGAAAGCCCUGGGCUCAACCUGGGAAUUGCAGUGGAUACUGGCGAGCUAGAGUGCGGUAGAGGAUGGUGGAAUUCCCGGUGUAGUGGUGAAAUGCGUAGAUAUCGGGAGGAACACCAGUGGCGAAGGCGACUUCCUGGCCUGUUCUUGACGCUGAGGCGCGAAAGCUAGGGUAGCAAACGGG